UAGCAACGGAUUAUCCGUUGCUAAAAAAUUUCCAGAAAAAAAAAAAAAAGACAUGUUUUGCAACGGAUUAGCCGUUGCAA
rnacentral:sRNA from 1 species